rnacentral:rRNA from 1 species
GACGAACGCUGGCGGCGUGCUUAACACAUGCAAGUCGAACGGUAAGGCCCUUCGGGGUACACGAGUGGCGAACGGGUGAGUAACACGUGGGUGAUCUGCCCUGCACUUCGGGAUAAGCCUGGGAAACUGGGUCUAAUACCGGAUAGGACUCCUGGCUUCAUGGUUGGGGGUGGAAAGCUUUUGCGGUGUGGGAUGGGCCCGCGGCCUAUCAGCUUGUUGGUGGGGUAAUGGCCUGCCAAGGCGACGACGGGUAGCCGGCCUGAGAGGGUGACCGGGCACACUGGGACUGGGAUACGGACCAGACUCCUACGGGAGGCAGCAGUGGGGAAUAUUGCACAAUGGGCGCAAGCCUGAUGCAGCGACGCCGCGUGAGGGAUGACGGCCUUCGGGUUGUAAACCUCUUUCAGCUAUGACGAAGCGCAAGUGACGGUAGUAGCAGAAGAAGGACCGGCCAACUACGUGCCAGCCGCCGCCGCAG